AACGUAGGAGGCAAGCGUUAUCCGGAUUUACUGGGCGUAAAGCGCGUGUAGGCGGCCCGGUAAGUCCGCUGUGAAAGUCGGGGGCUCAACCCUCGAAUGCCGGUGGAUACUGUCGGGCUAGAGUACGGAAGAGGCGAGUGGAAUUCCUGGUGUAGCGGUGAAAUGCGCAGAUAUCAGGAGGAACACCAAUUGCGAAGGCAGCUCGCUGGGACGUUACUGACGCUGAGACGCGAAAGCGUGGGGAGCAAACAGG
rnacentral:rRNA from 1 species